UAGGGAAUUGUUCGCAAUGGGCGCAAGCCUGACGACGCAACGCCGCGUGGAGGAUGAAGACCUUCGGGUCGUAAACUCCUUUCGACCGAGAUGAAUACGUGCCGACCUAAUACGUCGGCACGCUGACAGUAUCGAGGGAAGAAGCCCCGGCUAACUCCGUGCCAGCAGCCGCGGUAAUACGGAGGGUGCAAGCGUUAUCCGGAAUCACUGGGUUUAAAGGGUGCGUAGGCGGCUUAAUCAGUCAGAGGUGAAAUCUUUCCGCUUAACGGGAAGCCUGCCCUUGAUACUGUUGAGCUUGAAUUAGGUUGAGGUUGGCGGAAUGUGGCAUGUAGCGGUGAAAUGCAUAGAUAUGCCAUAGAACACCGAUUGCGAAGGCAGCUAACUAGGCCUGAAUUGACGCUGAGGCACGAAAGCGUGGGGAGCGA
rnacentral:rRNA from 1 species